rnacentral:rRNA from 1 species
GUGCCAGCCGCCGCGGUAAUACCGGCAGCACGAGUGAUGGCCGAUUUUAUUGGGCCUAAAGCGUUCGUAGCCGGCCGGACAAGUCCGUUGGGAUAUCUACUCGCCAAACGAGUGGGCGUCCGACGGAAACUGCACAGCUUGGGACCGGAAGGCUCGAAGGGUACGUUCGGGGUAGGAGUGAGAUCCCAUAAUCCCGCACGGACCACCGAUGGCGAAAGCACUUCGAGAAAACGGAUCCGACAGUGAGGGACGAAAGCCAGGGUCUCCAACCGGAUUAGAUACCCCAGUAGUCC